GAAAUGCGAUAAGUAGUGUGAAUUGCAGAAUUCAGUGAAUCAUCGAAUCUUUGAACGCACAUUGCGCCCUUUGGUAUUCCAAAGGGCAUGCCUGUUCGAGCGUCAUUUGUACCCUCAAGCUUUGCUUGGUGUUGGGCGUCUUGUCUCCAGUUCGCUGGAGACUCGCCUUAAAGUAAUUGGCAGCCGGCCUACUGGUUUCGGAGCGCAGCACAAGUCGCGCUCUCUUCCAGCCAAGGUCAGCAUCCACAAAGCCUUUUUUCAACUUUUGACCUCGGAUCAGGUAGGGAUCCCCGCUGAACUUAAGC
rnacentral:misc_RNA from 1 species